GAUGAACGCUAGCGACAGGCCUAACACAUGCAAGUCGAGGGGCAGCAUAAAAAGUAGCAAUUACUUUUGGUGGCGACCGGCGCACGGGUGAGUAACACGUAUGCAACCUACCUAGUAAUAGGGGAAUAACCCGGCGAAAGUCGGACUAAUACCGCAUAAUAAUGAAUAUUCGCAUGGAUUUUCAUUUAAAUAUUUAUAGAUUACAGAUGGGCAUGCGCAUGAUUAGAUAGUUGGUGAGGUAACGGCUCACCAAGUCAACGAUCAUUAGGGGUUCUGAGAGGAAGGUCCCCCACAUUGGAACUGAGACACGGUCCAAACUCCUACGGGAGGCAGCAGUGAGGAAUAUUGGUCAAUGGGCGAGAGCCUGAACCAGCCAAGUCGCGUGAAGGAAGAAUGUCCUAUGGAUUGUAAACUUCUUUUGUAAGGGAAUAAAGUUCGCCACGUGUGGUGUUUUGUAUGUACUUUACGAAUAAGGAUCGGCUAACUCCGUG
rnacentral:rRNA from 1 species